AUGGAGCUUUGUCUGGGCCCAGCAGCCUCGGCCACAGCAGCCUCUUCCUGCCUGGGGCCGGGCUGGGGGCACGGUGGGGCCAUGCCACGGCAGUCACACGCUGAGGGACCCCCGAGGUCAGGGAUGGAACAGCAGGGACCCCUUGAUUCCUUGCAAGCUGCAUUGGAGGCUGGUGAGGCAGCAGCAUCCCUGCCCAGCCCAGGUCAGGCACAGCAUCCCUGCCCAGCCCGGGUCAGGCACAGCAUCCCUGCCCAGCCCAGGUCAGGCACAGUAUCCCUGCCCAGCCCAGAAGGCUGGGAAAAGCCCUGGGAUGCACUUGGCACAGCUCUGCCAGCGACACCCUGGCAGGAGCCCAGUCUGUGGGCAGCCUCCUGGCUCCAGUGGUUCCUUCUCCCUUUUCCCGAGAUGUCCUCCUGGGGCAGACACUGCCAGUGUCCUUCCCUCAGCUGCUGCCAAAACUGUGCUUAUGGUCUGCCAGGGCUGGGAUUUCCUGGAAUGCUUAGGCUGGAGCUGGGACAGUGCUCCUGGAGGGGCCCUCUCUGUGCUGAGGAAUCACAGAAUCAUGGAACCACUUGGUUUGGGUUGGAAUGCGCAUCUUGUUCCAACCCCUUGCCACGGGCAGGGACACUUUCCACUAUCCCAGGUUGCUCCAAGCUCCAUCCAACCUGGCCUUGGACACUUCCAGGGAUGGAGCAGCCACGGCUCUCUGGUCAACCUGUGCCAGGGCCCCACCACCCUGCCAGGGAAGAAUUUCUUUUCAAUAUGCCAUCUGAACUUAGUUUCAAGCCAGUCCUCCUUGUCCUGUCACUCCACGCCCUCAUCCAAAGUCCCUCUCCAGCUCUCUUGGAGCCCUGCAGGAGAGCCAGGUUGAUCUGCAGGGAAGAGAUGAGGACCAGGGGCUGGUCCAGUGUCAGCUCAGAAGGCAGAGGCAGGGGAGAGUGGGGAGAGCCCAGAGCUGCAGAGCCUGCGAGUGCUGACAGAAGGAUGUGCUGUGUGCCAGGAGCUGUGGCUGAGGCUGGGGGGUCUGAGAAGGAGCAGGAUGGAAAAAACUCCCAUUCCUUUCACCCUGCAACACACACUGCUGCCAGGGCCCUGCAGCAGCACACCGGGCUGGGGAAUGUGCUGGUGGGAAGCGGCAAGAGCAGGCAGGAGGCAAAAAAAUGUCCCAGGAUGGAAAAGAAGGCACAUUUUAGUACUGCCAGGGAUGAAGCUGCUCAGAGGAAGCACAUACACACCUGA
rnacentral:lncRNA from 1 species